AAACCCUAAUUUGUACCACACAUCCUCAGAUGGUUAAUGACCAAUCCAAUGAAACCCUAGCUUCCAUACAUCACCCUUUUUAUCUUCUGAUCAAGACCUAGAAGGAUGACUUGCACAAUGUAGCCACAUGAUAUGCAAUUAUGCAAUGCCUAAUGACAUACAAAAUGAUAUGCAAUGCUCAAGCUAGUCCCAAGAGAGGAGGGCAAAUUUUGAGGUGUUAC
rnacentral:lncRNA from 1 species